GUGCCAGCCGCCGCGGUAAUACGUAGGUGGCAAGCGUUGUCCGGAAUUAUUGGGCGUAAAGCGCGCGCAGGCGGCUUCCCAAGUCCCUCUUAAAAGUGCGGGGCUUAACCCCGUGAUGGGAAGGAAACUGGGAAGCUGGAGUAUCGGAGAGGAAAGUGGAAUUCCUAGUGUAGCGGUGAAAUGCGUAGAGAUUAGGAAGAACACCGGUGGCGAAGGCGACUUUCUGGACGAAAACUGACGCUGAGGCGCGAAAGCGUGGGGAGCAAACAGGAUUAGAUACCCUGGUAGUCCACGCCGUAAACGAUGGAUACUAGGUGUAGGAGGUAUCGACCCCUCCUGUGCCGGAGUUAACGCAAUAAGUAUCCCGCCUGGGAAGUACGAUCGCAAGAUUAAAACUCAAAGGAAUUGACGG
rnacentral:rRNA from 1 species